rnacentral:rRNA from 1 species
AUUGAACGCUGGCGGCAUGCCUUACACAUGCAAGUCGAACGGUAACAGGGAGCUUGCUCCGCUGACGAGUGGCGAACGGGUGAGUAAUGUAUCGGAACGUACCAUAGAGUGGGGGAUAACUAUCCGAAAGGAUAGCUAAUACCGCAUAUUCUCUCCGGAGGAAAGCAGGGGACCGCAAGGCCUUGCGCUCUUUGAGCGGCCGAUAUCAGAUUAGCUAGUUGGUGAGGUAAAGGCUCACCAAGGCGACGAUCUGUAGCGGGUCUGAGAGGAUGAUCCGCCACACUGGAACUGAGACACGGUCCAGACUCCUACGGGAGGCAGCAGUGGGGAAUUUUGGACAAUGGGGGCAACCCUGAUCCAGCCAUGCCGCGUGAGUGAAGAAGGCCUUCGGGUUGUAAAGCUCUUUCGGCCGGGAAGAAAUCGCACAGGCCAAUACCCUGUGUGGAUGACGGUACCGGAAUAAGAAGCACCGGCUAACUACGUG